UGCAGUCGACGGAGCUGUUUUCUCUGAAGUUUUCGGAUGGAAGAGAGUUCAGCUUAGUGGCGAACGGGUGAGUAACACGUGAGCAACCUGCCUUUCAGUGGGGGACAACAUUUGGAAACGAAUGCUAAUACCGCAUAAGACCACAGUGUCGCAUGGCACAGGGGUCAAAGGAUUUAUCCGCUGAAAGAUGGGCUCGCGUCCGAUUAGCUAGAUGGUGAGGUAACGGCCCACCAUGGCGACGAUCGGUAGCCGGACUGAGAGGUUGAACGGCCACAUUGGGACUGAGACACGGCCCAGACUCCUACGGGAGGCAGCAGUGGGGAAUAUUGCACAAUGGGGGAAACCCUGAUGCAGCGACGCCGCGUGGAGGAAGAAGGUCUUCGGAUUGUAAACUCCUGUCCCAGGGGACGAUAAUGACGGUACCCUGGGAGGAAGCACCGGCUAACUACGUGCCAGCAGCCGCGGUAAAACGUAGGGUGCAAGCGUUGUCCGGAAUUACUGGGUGUAAAGGGAGCGCAGCGGAUUGGCAAGUUGGGAGUGAAAUCUAUGGGCUCAACCCAUAAAUUGCUUUCAAAAC
rnacentral:rRNA from 1 species